CCUACGCGCGGCAGCAGUGAGGAAUAUUGGUCAAUGGGCUUACGCCUGAACCAGCCAAGUCGCGUGAGGGAAGACUGCCCUAUGGGUUGUAAACCUCUUUUGUCAGGGAGCAACGCCGGCUACGUGUAGCCGGACUGAGAGUACCUGCAGAAAAAGCAUCGGCUAACUCCGUGCCAGCAGCCGCGGUAAUACGGAGGAUGCGAGCGUUAUCCGGAUUUAUUGGGUUUAAAGGGUGCGCAUGCGGAAGAUCAAGUCAGCGGUAAAAGUGAGAGGCUCAACCUCUUCGAGCCGUUGAAACUGGUUUUAUUGAGUGAGUGAGAAGUAUGCGGAAUGCGUGGUGUAGCGGUGAAAUGCAUAGAUAUCACGCAGAACUCCGAUUGCGAAGGCAGCAUACCGGCGCUCAACUGACGCUCAUGCACGAAAGUGUGGGUAUCGAACAGGAUUAGAUACCCGAGUAGUC
rnacentral:rRNA from 1 species